rnacentral:rRNA from 1 species
CGGUAAACAGAGGGAAGCGAGCCUGCGAGGGGGAGCGAAUCCCAAAAAUAACGUCCCAGUUCGGAUUGUAGUCUGCAACCCGACUACAUGAAGCUGGAAUCGCUAGUAAUCGCGGAUCAGAAUGCCGCGGUGAAUACGUUCCCGGGUCUUGUACACACCGCCCGUCACACCAUGGGAGUCGGAAAUGCCCGAAGUCUGUGACCCAACCUUAGGGAGGGAGCAGCCGAAGGCAGGUCGGAUGACUGGGGUGAAGUCGUAACAAGGUACC